UGGGGAAUUUUGGACAAUGGGCGAAAGCCUGAUCCAGCAAUGCCGCGUGUGUGAAGAAGGCCUUCGGGUUGUAAAGCACUUUUGUCCGGAAAGAAAUCCUUGGCUCUAAUACAGUCGGGGGAUGACGGUACCGGAAGAAUAAGCACCGGCUAACUACGUGCCAGCAGCCGCGGUAAUACGUAGGGUGCAAGCGUUAAUCGGAAUUACUGGGCGUAAAGCGUGCGCAGGCGGUUUGCUAAGACCGAUGUGAAAUCCCCGGGCUCAACCUGGGAACUGCAUUGGUGACUGGCAGGCUAGAGUAUGGCAGAGGGGGGUAGAAUUCCACGUGUAGCAGUGAAAUGCGUAGAGAUGUGGAGGAAUACCGAUGGCGAAGGCAGCCCCCUGGGCCAAUACUGACGCUCAUGCACGAAAGCGUGGGGAGCAAACAGGAUUAGAUACCCUGGUAGUCCACGCCCUAAAACGAUGUCAACUAGUUGUUGGGGAUUCAUUUCCUUAGUAACGUAGCUAACGCGUGAAGUUGACCGCCUGGGGAGUACGGUCGCAAGAUUAAAACUUAAAGGAAUUGACGGGGUCAUAGCUGUUU
rnacentral:rRNA from 1 species